rnacentral:tRNA from 1 species
UCCCUGUUGGCUCAGACAGUAAAGAAUCUGCCUGCAAUGCGGGAGACCCAGGUUCGAUCCCUGGGUGGGGAA